AUACGUAGGGGGCAAGCGUUAUCCGGAAUUAUUGGGCGUAAAGCGUGCGUAGGCGGCUUUUUAAGCGUGGGGUUUAAGGCUAUGGCUCAACCAUAGUAUGCCCUGCGAACUGGAAGGCUUGAGUACAGGAGAGGAAAGCGGAAUUCCUAGUGUAGCGGUGAAAUGCGUAGAUAUUAGGAGGAACACCAGUGGCGAAGGCGGCUUUCUGGACUGAAACUGACGCUGAGGUACGAAAGCGUGGGGAGCAAACAGGAUUAGAUACCCUGGUAGUCCACGCUGUAAACGAUGAGCACUAGGUGUCGGGGUCGCAAGACUUCGGUGCCGCAGUUAACGCAAUAAGUGCUCCGCCUGGGGAGUACGUUCGCAAGAAUGAAACUCAAAUGAAUUGACGGGG
rnacentral:rRNA from 1 species